rnacentral:rRNA from 1 species
AUGAGUUCUCUAAGAGGGUUUGGAAAUAUCGCCAGAAGAUGGAGAGAACUCAACGGUGCGAAUUACUGGAAGGGGCUACUUGAUCCUCUUGACGUCGACCUCCGGAAGAAUAUCAUCAACUAUGGUGAGCUCUCACAGGCAGCAUACACUGGGCUCAACAGAGAGAGAAGGUCAAGGUACGCUGGGUCUUGCCUCUUCAGACGCAAGGACUUCCUCAGCAGGGUAGAUGUAUCAAACCCUAAUCUAUAUGAGAUUACGAAGUUUAUAUAUGCAAUGUGUACGGUGAGCUUGCCGGAUGAUUUCAUGAUAAAGCCGCUGUCAAAGGCCGCAUGGAGCAAGCAAUCAAAUUGGAUGGGGUUUGUUGCUGUGGCCACCGACGAGGGUAAGGAAGUGCUCGGGAGGCGGGAUGUGGUGGUGGCAUGGCGUGGGACAAUACGGGUGCUAGAGUGGAUGGAUGACCUUGAUAUUUCCUUGGUGCCUGCUUCAGAAAUAGUACGACCAGGCAGUGCCCAUGACCCCCGUGUUCAUGGAGGAUGGUUGUCCGUCUACACGAGUACUGACCCAGGGUCUCGGUACAAUAAACAGAGUGCACGAUAUCAGGUGUUGGAUGAAGUCGAAAGGCUGCAGGAUCUGUACAAGCAAGAGGAGACCAGCAUCACCAUAACAGGUCACAGCCUUGGGGCCGCUCUUGCAACCAUUAGUGCUACCGACAUUGUCUCCAACGGCUACAACAAGACCUGCCCGGUCUCGGCCUUCGUGUUUGGUAGCCCCAGAGUGGGCAACUCCGACUUCCAGAAAGCAUUUGACAGUGCAGAAGAUCUGAGGUUGCUCCGUGUCCGGAACUCCCCUGACGUGGUCCCAAACUGGCCAAAGCUGGGAUACAGCGACGCCGGCACGGAGCUCAUGAUCGACACAGGGGAAUCACCCUACAUCAAGAGCCCUGGGAACCCCUUAACAUGGCAUGAUAUGGAGUGUUACAUGCAUGGGGUUGCCGGGACGCAAGGGAGCAACGGAGGGUUUGAGUUGGAGGUUGAUCGGGACAUCGCGUUGGUGAAUAAACACGAAGAUGCACUGAAGAAGGAGUAUUCGAUCCCACCGUCUUGGUGGGUGGUUCAGAACAAAGGUAUGGUGAAAGGCAAGGAUGGUCGGUGGCAUCUGGCCGACCAUGAGGAUGAUGAUGACUGA